GUGGGGAAUAUUGGACAAUGGGGGGAACCCUGAUCCAGCCAUGCCGCGUGUGUGAAGAAGGCCUUUUGGUUGUAAAGCACUUUAAGCGAGGAGGAGGCUACCGAGAUUAAUACUCUUGGAUAGUGGACGUUACUCGCAGAAUAAGCACCGGCUAACUCUGUGCCAGCAGCCGCGGUAAUACAGAGGGUGCAAGCGUUAAUCGGAUUUACUGGGCGUAAAGCGCGCGUAGGUGGCCAAUUAAGUCAAAUGUGAAAUCCCCGAGCUUAACUUGGGAAUUGCAUUCGAUACUGGUUGGCUAGAGUAUGGGAGAGGAUGGUAGAAUUCCAGGUGUAGCGGUGAAAUGCGUAGAGAUCUGGAGGAAUACCGAUGGCGAAGGCAGCCAUCUGACCUAAUACUGACACUGAGGUGCGAAAGCAUGGGGAGCAAACAGGAUUAGAUACCCGUGUAGUCC
rnacentral:rRNA from 1 species